rnacentral:rRNA from 1 species
UACGUAGGGGGCUAGCGUUGUCCGGAAUCAUUGGGCGUAAAGAGCGCGCAGGCGGUCGAGUAAGUCGAAUGUGAAAGCCCCCGGCUUAACUGGGGAGGGUCAUUCGAUACUGUUCGACUUGAAGGCAGGAGAGGGUAGUGGAAUUCCCGGUGUAGUGGUGAAAUGCGUAGAUAUCGGGAGGAACACCAGUGGCGAAGGCGACUACCUGGCCUGUUCUUGACGCUGAGGCGCGAAAGCUAGGGGAGCAAACGGG